AACGUAGGAGACAAACGUUAUCCGGAGUUACUGGGCGUAAAGGGCGUGUAGGCGGUUUGUUAAGUCUGGCGUGAAAGCUCUCGGCUAAACCGGGAGAGGUCGUUUGGAUACUGGCAAGACUAGAGGACGGUAGAGGCGUGUGGAAUUCCGGGUGUAGUGGUGAAAUGCGUAGAGAUCCGGAGGAACACCAGUGGCGAAGGCGGUUCUCUGGGCAUUACCUGACGCUGAGGAGCGAAAGUGUGGGGAGCGAACAGG
rnacentral:rRNA from 1 species